rnacentral:lncRNA from 1 species
UCGGGACUCGUCUUAUCGAUACCCUUAUAUAUUCCAUUUACUGACUACUUUCAUUUUCUCCCAUAUAAACUUAAACCUGGAAAUUAUACAUAGUACUAAUUGAGUUAUAGUACGUGAGAUUUUUUUUAUUUUUUAUUUUACAGUUUUUUUUUUUUGUCAUUUUAUUUUACAGUUUCUUAGAAAAAAAUAUUUCGAAGUCUAACAGCUGAUUUGAUUAGGUGUUUCCCAAGGCUGUCGCAAUAACCAAUAUUUGGGUUAAUAAUAGUUUAGUAUGAGUAUCAUAAUGAACACCGA